GGAAAUGUACUUCACAGGAACUGUGAUGAGGUUUGCAGCUGGCAGGAGAGGACGACAAUGUGGCCGCAUGCAUCUCCAUUCUCCCGUUGGCAACAGAAUUGAAGCUCACAUGAAACAGCUUGGGGAAUGAGCCCAUGGCCCAGCAAGCAGACUUGGCACUCUUUUCCUUCCCACUCCCACCCCAGCCCCUGACUUGACAACAAAAACUGAAGCGGGUGUAUGUACCAUUUCUAAGAAUAUAAACUUUAAAAAAAAUGAUUAUUUAAUGAUGUGGCUAUUUUGAACUAUGAUUAACGUAAGUACAUUUAAGGUACAACAUUGGCAAGUUAGGAAACCACCAAGUAAGGCCAGAUGUAUCAACUGACUUGAUGUUUUAAUUUAAAACACCAGCAACAACUCGAAAGGACUGUUAAUAUGAGACAAAUCAGAGAAAAAACUCACACAAGUUGUUUACCUGUUAUCUACGGUACCUAGAAGUCAUUGCCUUUUAUAAAUAUUAACACUAUGUAUGAUCAAUGUAAAUUUAACUCUAUAUGUGAUCUAAGUAAGUGGAUUUCAUUAGUUAAAAUGUUAAAUUAUAGAAGUGAACUUUUGAUCUUAUGUUAGUCAUGACAAUAUUGGAGAAUCCAGUUAUGAUCUCUAAGUUAUAAUAGAAAUUAUCUUAUGUUUUACAUUGUUGUGGGACAUGUAAAAUUGUUGUAAGCUACUGUGACGUUGUUUUCUGAUUUAGCUUCUGUUCACUUAGAAAAAGUGACAAAGUUUCACAAAGAAAUCUGCCCCCCAUCCCCACAAUCGAUGUUGCAGGAACUAUGUACAAAUCUCUUACAACUUCUUCCAGAGCAUGGGAAAAGGUGUCCAAACAACAUUCAUUUAAAAGCAUCAGUAUGGGGCUGGGAUUGUGGCUCAGUGGUAGAGCGCUCCCCUAGCAUGGGCAAAACCCGAGUUCGAUUCUCAGCACCACAUAAAAAUAAAGGCAUUGUGUUGUGUCCAUCUACACCUAAAAAAUAAAUAUUAAAAAAGAGCAUCAGUAUGUUAUAUGCAUAUUCUAUGUGUACUUCAGCAGCUAAAGAGCAACACAUGUCUCUACAACUCAUUUACAAGUAUUCAUUUAAUAAACAUGAAAACCUGUAUAUGGCUCUUUCACAUUUGUUUUCACAUUUGUUAAAAUUAGUCCUCCCAAUACUCAAGUUUCUCAACCAAACAUAUGCUGUCACCAUUUCACAGACAAGGAAACACAGGCCCAGAGACAUACUGAGCAGAACCAGAGCUCAAUGCUUGUGCUCCAUCCAUGACAUACAACCACGUGAUAAAGAGAAAAGAAAUAAUGAUUAUAGAUCCUAGUUUGGAAAAAGUAUAGAAUAGUCUAGCCCAUGAAAGAAAUGUAAAAUAAAAUAAAGAGAUGAGUAUUCAUAUGGUUUAUCCGUCAGUUACCAGAUGAGUCAAAAGUAUCUUCAUAUUUUGGUGAUAUUACAGAUUAUAAUCCUAGGAUAAGGUUAUUGGCUACCAGAGCUUUUUAGUUAUAAACAUUAAAGAGAAAAAAUAUAUUGUAUGUUCAAGAUACUGUGUUUUUAAUAAUUUUAAAUAAAUUUUACUGUAUAAGUUUUUUUAAAAUAUUUAUUCUUAAGUUUUAGGUAAAUACUGUAUUCAUUUUAUCCAUGAAGAUAUUGUUGAUUUUAAGUAGUUUUAUAAAAAGGGAUCCUUGAUUUGCCUUUUUUAAAAGUUCUUAGUUGAAACCAAAGUAGAUAGGCAAAAGUUAUGGUCUGCUAUACAUAGCAUGGGAGCUGGUUCUCCUGGCUUAUAAUCUCUGUCUAGCAUCCCUCCCAGUGAGUCCUUCAAGAUUUAUAAUUCAGUUUCUCCAGUUACAGAAUAUGACUGUUAUCAAAUAUCUACCUUGAAGUUUCCUCUCUUCCUUUCAGUGAUGUACAUUUGCAAUACCCAAAGAGGAAUCAGACCUUACCUUACCCUGAAGAAUAGGAUAGCAUUAUUAAGAAGUCAAGGAAACAAAACAAGUUUCACUCUUGGUCUACACCUCCUGUUGCGGGAAACUUGCCCAGUCUCUUCAACUUUUACCCUUCCUCUAGCCCCAAGAAGGCCCAACCCCUCUCCUGGAGUGUGAUGUACUUGAAUGCUGAACCAGUAUCUCAGUACCCCCUCAGGAACAGACACAGUGCUUGGCAUAUGAUUUAAAUGAAUUGAUUUGAUUCAUUGGAACUUGUCAUUUCUAUAUAACAGGUAAUCCUAUCUAAUAGACCUGUGCUUCACAAACUGGGCUGCAUAUUAGAGCCACAGGGGAGAUUCAGAAAAGAUUGGUACCUGGCUCCACUUCUGGAGAUUUUCAUUUUUCUGGGGUAUAGGCUAGGCAUCAAAAUUUUUUUAAACAUUUCCAGGUGAUUAUAACGAGCAGCCACAGUCAAAAGCCACUCUAAUGUACAGGUGCUUCACAAACUGAGAAAUGCUCCAAGCAUCCCAGAUUUAACGGGUAACUGAAAUGUCUUGGUUCAUACUCUACAGAUUCUUGUUCUCCUUUCUUCUAUGGUCCCAUUUAUUUGCCCAUUUUUUUGGAGUAGGUAAAGCAAACUGUUUUAUAAAUGUUGAUUGAUAAAUCAAUAUUUAAAUCAAUGCAACCUGGAAUGCCCCCAAACUUUCAAUGGGAUACAUUUACUUGUACUUUAAGUUGACUUUGAGAAAUAUUCUUCUAGGAAAACAAAUAAUUUUACUAGCCUAAAGGACACAUGGCACAUAAUCUGCAACCUUCCUUACUGUUUCUGUUAUAUAGAGACCUUUGGGAAGACAUUUUUGCAAAUAAAUUGUCAAAAUUCUUAAAUCAUGCUCACUGGGCUUAUGCAUCAGUGAAGUUAGUCAGCCAGAGGAGAGUGACUGAUCCCCUUGCCAUGGCUAAUGAGAUCCUUUGUGUGCUGGCUCCUGCCUACCCUCACCUCCAUUCCAAUGGAUGUCCUCACUUGCCUCUUUUUCCCUUUACUUUGGUGAUAUUACAGAUUAUAAUCCUAGGAGAAGGUUGUCUGCUACCAGGUAGAGCUUACUUACUACCAGCUCCUUUUACUCUCAGAAGUCAUCACCUCAUGAACAUGUGCAAUACUGUGCUAAUCCUACUGUACUGGCAUUCCUUAUUUAUGUUUCUAUCUCCAUCACUAGAUUUUUAAGCUUCUUGUAAGAGGAUUCCAUGACUUAUGUACCUCUUGUCCCUAACACCAAAAUGUACUUUGACCUACUGAAGUGAUGGGACUCCAAAAUCCAUUCCUUUUCCAGACCUUUUCCAGAGGUUGUCCAGAAAAGGUUGGAAUCUAGAUACCUGGUUUAAUCAACAAGAGCCAUGGUUUGACUUGAAUAUCCUAAUAUUGAAUCUGUUUUUUUAAAAAAUGAAAGAAAGAAUAGAACCACAUGAAAAGUGACUGUCUGUGUCUUUGAACACCACCAGUACCUUUAGAUUAGACAGAGGGGAGUGAAGGGAAAGUAAAGGUAUGGGAGUAGGAAUGACAGUAGAAUGAAUAGAACACUAUUACCCUAUGUGUAUAUGUGAUUACACAACUGGUAUAACUCUACAUCAUGUACAACUAGAUGAAUGAGAAGUUAUGCUCCAUGUAUGUAUGAUGUGUCAAAAUGCAUUCUACUGUCAUAUAUAACUAAUUUGAACAAAUUAAAAAAAAACCACCAUCAGUAAUGUUAAGAAGUUACUUUAUGUUAUAAAGUUUGGCACUGCUUAAACACUUUCUUAGAGGAGAGACACUAAAGUAUCAUUUGUACCAACAAGCAGCUAUUUGUUGGAGACUGCUAAUGGACCACCAAAACUAUUUUCUCUUCUUUCUGGGCAGGUAGUAAGACUAUGCUUUCCAAUGUUUUGCAGUUUGAUGUGAUCACAUGAUGCUAGCCAUUGAUCUAUAAUUAGAAGGGACAGGAGCCCCUUCCAGUUCUGACCCAGAAAAGCCUCCCAUACACAAUACAACAAUAACACUUUUUCUUUCCUCUUCCACCAGCUUCAGGCCAAGUCUUGAAGUUAGGCAGAGCCACAGAUGGAAAAAAAAAAAAAAACACAUCACUGAAACAUCAUGGAGGAAAGCUGCCAUGGAACUUCACGUGAGUGUGAGCAAGUUCUAGACUUUCACAGUAUUGAGCAACUGAGAUGUGGGGUCUAUGUGACAGUGCCAAUAAAACCCAGCCCUGGUACCAUUUUCUGAUUGUUGUCUUCACAACAUUGAUGUGGAAACAGAUGCUGAUGCUGCCACUGUCAUCAAGGAGAAUCAGCUUCUGGAACCUUUAUGACUCCUUCUCUGGAAACUGGUUAAUCACUCAGGAGAUAUCUCCACCAGAAGCUCUUCCCACUCCCUGAACCCUUGCCCUGCCCCAUCAGUGAAAACUUUGAGCAUCCACUAUGUGUAUACUGUGCUAUGUGCUCCCUCAUACAUCUCAUCUCAAACACUACAGAAACCCGUCUGGCAGGUAUUGUGACCCUCUUUCAGCAGGAGGAGAGACUGAACACUCACAUAAGUCUACCAGCUGGUAAGUGGCCGAAUCUAGAUUGAAAUCCCCUCUUGGGACUGUGAAGUCAGUGAUGGUCCAGCUCUCACCAUGGUGUCUCCUGCCCUGACCCAUACUUAUCUGUCUCCCUGCUCCCACCUUAGGAUGUUCCUUGCAAUGACCAUUUCUGGGAAGGGCAAUGUGGGAGUCUCUCCUUGAGGGAAGCCAAGUCUUUUCACUGAAACCAGAGUGGGUGGAGGAUGUGUAACUGGCCUCUGCAUUUAAAACUUGGAACACAUUUUUUCCGUGGAAAAAAUAUUAUGCAGAGAUGUUCCAUUUUUCAAAAAUGUAUGCAAAAGCACUUUGCAAACCAUGAAGAAGUCUAUAAUAUGCCUAUAAGGAAUUACUAUUCUGCAGUACAUUAGCACUGUAAUUCUGACACAUUGUGGAUUAAAUAGCCUUUUGUGAAGUAGUUUGAGAAUUUAACCUCUGAGUGUUACAUUGUCUCAAAGGAAAAAUACAUUCCAAUAGCCAAACAACUGACUUACAACAGAUUUUUGGAACCAAAUCCAUUCAUAACUGAGAACUGCCUGGAUUAACAUGAAGAGGACACAUCAUCACCAUCUUCAUCAAGUAUUAUUUAUGAAGGGCAGUGCAUGGGGUGAGGGCUUCAGGGUGAAAGAAAAAAGAAGGGAAGUGUUAAUCUAAUUUUUAAUGGCUACAAUUCCACAUCCCUGCUUGUGAAUGAGCUCAAGCUGUUCCAAAACAUCCCUCUCAUUUUUUCUCUUCACUUCCUUCCCCAUUUUUACUUAUCUUUUCCUCUCCUAUGGUUGUUACUCUUUUUUGGCCAUUCCUCUUUGUCUGUCUUCCUUAUUUACUCAGUAUGCAUUCUUAUAUUAGACACAUUCUUUUCAGGGACUGGUUAUAUUCUCAGAGUCUGGGACUGAGGGAGUCUUAUCCUUUCCUCUGCCACAGCUGUAUGACAUUCAUUUCUUUUCUGAGUCAUUCUAAAAUUGUCCAAACCAGUUUUCUGACCUCUGCUUACCCUGACUGUCAUCCAGUGAAUAUAUAAGAUCGAUUUUCUUUGGGGAUAACAUGUUGUGACUACUUAUAGUUUUUGCCUCACAAAAUAUUAUAAUUCCUCACAUUGCAUUUGAAGAUGCUACAGAACCUUUAUCUCUAGCCCAUUCCUACACAAAGCUUUUUUCCUUGUAUUAUCUUAGGUCAAAUUGAACUGCAUGUUAUUCCCCAAAUAUACUUCCUUCCUUAUCCCUUUGCUAUUCUGUCUUCCUCUACAGUGCUCUGCAAGUCACCAGUAUGAAAUUCUGUGUGUCCUUCAAUACUCUCCCUAAAGGCUACUUACUUGCAGUGGGAUCCAUAUAUCCCCUCAUAUAUGAAUCCUUAAUUGCUUUUCAAAAAAAUAUUUAUUUAACUCCUUUUAUAUAUUAGGCAUAUGCUGGACACUUUUUAUACAGAAUUCUAUUUAGUGUUUGUAAUAUCCCUGUAAAGUAACUGCAAUUUCCCCACUAUUCCUAUAUGGAAACCAAGAGUUAAAGGACGCGCUCUAGGUCAGGAAGUAGAAGAGGCCAGAAUUUGAACUGACACACAUCUGGAUGGCAAAACCCAUUUGUCUCUUUCUACCACUUUCUCUCUUUCUAUCACUCCCUCCUUCACUAUUUCUCUUAAAGUAAAAGAUUUGAAAUGCAGUAUAUGGGCUAUUGAUGUGUACUAUUGAUUUCAUAGAUACUUUUAGGUCAGAAAAUUCAUCCUAAUCAUCUUUGCAUACUAGCCUACUCUCAUGCUUUGAAUAGUCAAAACUUAAUGUGACAUUGAUGUAAAAGUGCCCCUUCAGGCACGUCACUGAGGAAGUUAAAUUAACAAGUCCCUAUCUUGUUACCAUGUGCAACUAACUCACUAGUAAACAACCAAGGAAUCUUAUAUCCACAGACACCAUAAUUAGGACAAUCCAUAUGGGAUUCUUACAGUAUAAUGCUCUGAACAAAUUUUGAACUGAACAGAAACUAGAGUUGGCUUUUAGUGUUUGCUCCUGGGGAAAUUUGAAAAGAAUAAGAUAUUUAGUGUCAGCAAAUCCUGGAAAUGCUUUGUUUAUUUGUUUAGAUAUUCAAAGUGAGCCAUUUGCCAAGUCUGCAGAACCAAGUACAAGACUGAGACACAAACAAGUGUUUCUUCUCAGCCAAUAAUAGUUCUAAUACCAUCUGGAAACCUACACCAGUUAAGAAAGAAACAAAUGUGCCUUUCUUUUUUAUUUCCUAUGAAGACCUCAAAGCUUGUAAAUCUGGGAUCUGCUGGGUGAGGAAAAGAGAAUUCCAAAGAUGGGGCGCUCCAUUAAACCCAAGCCCCCUGGCAACUGGGACUUCAGAUCAUAGAGACAAUCAGAGAUCAUGUUUAUUCUGAUCUCCAUGGACCAAAAGUUGCCCCUAACUCUGAAAGAGUUUCAUUGUGAUCCAAUUUAGAGUUCAGUUCAACCCUGUAAAUUACUGUGAUAUUUUUAUUGAUAUCAUGAAAAUGUACCCUUGCUUCUCUAUUGUCACAAAAGCAUGUUGUUGAAACACUUAAAAUGCCUUGGCACACUUUAAAAGUGCUUUUUACAUAGGAGACACAAAAUUAAUGGUGCACUUCAGUCAACACAUCCCGCACAAUGCUUUCUUUCCCCUUCCUCAAAGCUGUAGGACAAAACAAAGUGGGUCCACCAGAGACCACUGAACAUUUCUCUGAUGGUAAUAACAUCUGGUUUGUAAGCAAUGGAAGUCAGUGUUACAGUCUCCCCUCUCAUAUCCUAAUGUAUACAUGAACAGCAUUAAGCUAGUUUCAUCAUCAGAUUUCACUUUUCAGUGAAGUUUUAAUUACUAAUCCUUAUCAUGUUAUUUCUAUGAGGGAGCUGGUAGUUUACCUCCCAUUUCUGACUUUCCAGAUCCUUCUCUUGGCGGGCCCUAGCCUACUCCUUUCCCCUCCUCCUCUUUUCAUGCCCUAUUCAGAGUCCUUCAGAUUCAAUGUGCCUGCUCAGCACUUCACCAGCAGCAUUAUUUGGACCCUGUAUUAUCCUAAUCACACAGCAGUUUCCAGCCAUCAAGUACAUAAUCUCAGUUGCACAUUAGCCUGGAAAUGGGCUUUCCCCCCUUUAGUUAUCUUAUCCACAAACAUGUGCAAAUAUUACCUCAUUUCAUCCUUGUGCUGGUGCCAGAGAUUAACCCCAAAACUGUCAUGAUAAAUGUACCAUUUAAAAAAUAGUCAGUUUCCUCAAACCUUAUUUUGUCAGUCUUGUUUCAAAUUCAUCUCCUGUUAUGACGUGGCUACUAGAACUUGUCAUCUUUUAUACUGUUUCACUUCCAAACAUUGGAGCCAAAUAUGAUGUCAUAUGUUCUAGUAGCACAGCACUUAUCUAAAGGAAAAAGCUUACUCAGAGCUUUUACUAAUGUUUUUAUUUGUUAUAAUAACACACAGCGCAAGUUGGAAAACAUAUUUUUAAAGGAAACCAAUGAGACAGGCUUUAAUCUUUAAAUAUGAAAAGGAUUGUUUGAGGACUUCAAAAGGAAGAAAAGUUAUCUUCCUCAGACCAAGAAAACAGUGAUUGGCAGGAGUUUUAUUCAUCAGCCUUUAAUACUGGCAAAAUCAAUCAGUCAAGUAGCAUCAUGCAGGUGUUACAGAAAUGUUAAAAAGUGAAAGAUUUUGUUUCUAUCCAAAAUCACUUCACACUUAUAUUUUUUAAAAAGGAAAAUAAAACAACAUUAAAAUUCUCCUAUUUCCUAAUUAGCAUCAGUGGCAUCAUAUUUGAAUGGCAUGAAUGGAAGAUGAUAUCAUGGACAUGUAAUGGGUUUGGACACAGAAGACCAGGGCAUGGACUGAAAAAGUGACCCUGACAAAUCUCUCCCUCAUUUAUUAAGAUAAUCUGUUCUACCUCAAAGUGCUUGGGGACCACCAAAUAAUUUAUGUGAAAAUGCUUUGAAAUAAAAAAAGUUCUAUACAAAUAUAUGGUAUCAUCUCUGUUAGUUUUUCAUCCCUACUCUUAACUUGUUUAAAGUUAUCAGGGUUGGCACUCUGCACUGCAUUUGCACUCUAUAUAUACUUCUUUCCCAGCACUGAUCACACUUGCUGUAAUUAUACCUAUACCAUGGUUCUUCCAACUAACUUGCAAGCUUUUGAGAAUCGAUCUCCAGAUUCAGGACAGCUCUGGUGCAUAUGUCUGUUGAAUAAUUUGCUUGCUAAAUGAAUACAUACAUGAGGUCCCCAAUUUUUCACUAAUUCAUUCCCAUUUUCCAUUUUUUCCCCUGAUAGCCUACACUUCUUGCCUUUGCUUUAUUACUAUAUUGUCUGCACAGAAUAAUAUAAAUUAUUAUCUGCCUCAGUUAAGAUGAAACAAUUCAUACCAUAAUUGAAGUUACUGCAACAAGAAAUUUCUCUCAAGUCUUAGUAAUUAAUCUCUAAAAUUCAUGCAAAUUUUUAAAGUAAAUCUAUAAUACAAUUAAAUUUAUCUUAACAAAAAUAAUAUUCUUUUCCUAAAUACUUGAGUAAAAUUGAUAUCUCAGAAAAACGGGCCAGAUUUGUCUUAUAUAUUGAAAAGCCCAAUAGACAUAAUAAUUGACUCAAAGACACUGAAAUACUCUAUAUUAAGAGUUUUAAUUAUAUUAAAAUUAAAGAAGAAUUUGAUCUCAUGAAUAAAGGCAAUUUAAUGGCCUAUUGUAAGCAUACCAUUUCUACCAAAUGCUGAGCUAAAAAGUCCAGAGAACAUCCCCCAUUAUAUCUGGAUUUUGAAGGAUAUGACAUAUUUCAGGUAAGCAACUUUUCUUUUUAAAUCACCCAAGGAGAUAUUUUUUAACACUGGUCCAAUUGUCUAUUGUUAGGCCUCAAAAUAAUAUUCUUUAAGUUUCCAAGAUGCUUCUACUGUGAAGCCAGAGAAUUUUCUGAAGUAUUCUCAAGACUGAGGUGCACAAGACAUGAUAUAACUGAAGAUGCGAGGAAUGAGGAACAAGCAUUAUCUUCUAGAAGCUAAACUCCCAAAGAGGAAUCCAAAGUAGGACCUAACUCUGGUAUCAGAAUUCAGAUGUCUCACUUCAAGUGGCAGAAUGGUUCUCAGACAGACUUCAAUACCUCAUUAUGGUUUUUGACAUAACCAAAGAAAGAAUAAGUCAAAAAGAGGUGAUGAUAUUCAAUGGAGGCAGGGAAAAGAAAAACAGAAAAAUUACUACUGGCAGAAUGGCUAUGGCAUCAUUCAGGGAGAACUGUUCUGUCCUGGAAAUACACCCUCUUGUGGCAAGGCACCACCCUCGGGUAAGACAGUGUGAGACAGGGGUUUUAUGUCAUUUAACCUUUCUGAUCUUUUAUAGCCUCAUCUGUAAAACAGUUUUAAAAUACAUGAACAUAAAUCCAUGAAAAUUACCACAAUGCCUGGCAUGUAGUAAAAGUUCAAUAAUAGUGGCUGUUAUUAUGAUUAUUAUUACUAUUGGUUAUUAUAGCUGUUGAUGACACAACUAUUGAAAUUAUUCAAUUCUCACUUUAUCCUUUGUUCUCAUGCUUACAAAGCAACUUUGUAAUUAUAAUUUUGUUUCCCAUAAAAAAUGUGUCUGUUGGGAAAGAAAGUAAUGAGUGGUGACAGAAAUGGCUGCUCUCUAAACAAGCUCUUGUUUCUCAUAAUAAACUAAUAAACUGGAAUUAUUAUUCUUAUUUAUGUCUUUUGUGAAUUGGAUUGAUGAUUUUCCUGAAAUAAAAUUACUGUAUGCCUUUUAACAUCAAAUGUUUUGCUGUAAUGUUGGAACCAGUCCCUGGGAUACAGAAACCCUACCAAGGAUUUCCAAUGGUAAAAUACCAUUUGACCUGUUUCAGGCAGUGACCCUUUUUCUAAUUGCCUACUUCUUAAAACUGAAGCACAGGGCCUUAAAUUUUUUGUGCUUUUCUUUUUUAAAAAAUUGGAUGAUCAGAUUUCUCACUGAUAAAUGUAAAUGUUAGGCGUGGAUU
rnacentral:lncRNA from 1 species